GACUGGCUUACAACUUGCAGUGAUCCUCUUGCCACAGCAUCCUGAGUGAUAGGGUUCCAGGUGCAUGCCACCACCCCCAGCUUUUUUUUGUUUUGUUUUAAAGAGGAGGUCUCACUAUGUUGCCCAGGCUGGUCUUGAACUUGUGCACUCAAAUGAUCUCAUACCUCAUUCUUCUGAGAAGCUGGAACUACAGGCGCACCCCGGAAUGGUUUUUAAGAAAGAAAUAUUGGAAAGGAUGUUAAUAAGACUCAGUUUAUCCCUUACUAACUAGGGCUGAGGGCCAGCUGCUAUGUAAAGGUUUCUUUUUCUGUGGAAAAAAAAAGUCAUUGUUAGGUAGGUAGAGUGAUGCAUGUCUGUAAUCCCAACAUUCAGGAGGCUGAGGCAGGAGGAUCUCAGUAAGUUUGAGGACAGCCUGAGCUAUAUAGCAAGUUUUAGAUCAUCCUGAAAUACAUAGCAAGAACCCCUCUCAACACCCCCCCAAAAAAAACCCUACGUUGUUAGCUCACACUUUGCAUUUUACACAUGAUAUCCUGUGAUGUACAAAAUCACUAAUACACAUAUUUUACACAUGAAACAGUUUGACAGAUGUGGAUAUUUGGCCAGUGUCCCACAGAGGAUGCUUUGACUUUGUAGAAAAUUCCUGUACCUGUGAGCUUUUGAGAUUAUAUCUCUUCCAUUCAAGAGAACAGUGAGACUGACCAGGAAUUGAUAAGUUAAUUCUAAAUUCUGGGGGAUUGAUUCAGACUUGCCUAGAUUAAAUUAGAAGCUCUUCUUUGUUUUGUUUUAGUUUUAUAAUUUUGCAUGCAGGGAACCAUUUAUUCCUUUUGGAGAAACACAGUUAAAUUUCCUUUUAGAGCAAAUGGGCAAUUGAAUUUCAGUGAUUUAAAUAAUUUUCUGUUCAAUUUUAAAAUGCUAUGCAUUUAUAAGGAAAUUUAUAAGGAAAUUCUACAAAAAUAAUAAAUAUAUUUGCAACAGACUCAAAUUACUUAAAUUAGAAGCUCUUCUGUCAGAAAUUUUUUUUGUAUUUUAAUUAAUUUCUUUACACAUAACUGAAAGUGAUGUUACAGUACAUAAGUUAUUUAAACUGUGCAGUGAUGUGUUUCAAAAUAAAUUAUCUAGAAGGCAUCAGAGUACCUUGUGAAGGUAUAUAAAACUGUACAGCGUCUGCAGAUACACUCUGUAUAGGAUUAUUGGCUCUAGUGUUUCAAGUUACAGUCUCAGAAAGAGAAAAUGCCCAAGAUUAAAGGAAAAAAUAUACAAACCAUGUUGAUUUGACUCCAUUAAAAACACUGUUGAAUCGAUCCCCGGUACCACAAAAAAAAAAACACUGUUGGAGAAUCCUGGCUGCAUCCCUCUGUGGCCAGAUAGGUGGCAGCUGAACCCUCACCACACUGAUGUCCCCAACGUCCAGAAACUUUUUAUAGUAGUUGGAAUCAUUAUGAUUCAGGUAGCUACUGUCAGGAGGGCUGCCCCAAAAUGAUAUUCCCACUUAAUAACUUGGGGCAUCACAGUGGAUUAAAUAUACACAUACUAAACUUUUCUAAUAUAAAUUUGUACUUUAGCAUUAUAGUAGAUGGGCUAUGCAUCUCAAUAGCUAUACCAGGGGGAUACAGGGAGCAAUCUUUAUGUUUAGCCAUUUGUUACUAUGAAAAGCAAGGUGUGCACAUGUUUACAAAAGUGUCAAACCAGGAUUUUUUCCCAUGUAGUGCUCCAUGUAACAUUUUUUGCAUAUGUUUACCUAGGCAUCAUGAGAAGGGGUUGUAAAUGCACCCAUACCAUUCUUCUGUAUGUAAACAUAUACUUUACCAUAAUGGAGUGUGGGUAUGGUUCACAGUAGCUGGGCCUGGGAAAACCAAGAACCCAUUUGUUCACCCACUCUGCAGGUGAACAGCAAGGUGUAUACAGAAGCUCCAAAGCAGCAACAGAAGUAGCACAGUAGUACAAUGGCAUAUGAAAAACCAGAUUUGCAAGUUUUGGAGGAGGCCAAAAGUGAAUUAUCAGGUGGCUCACGCACAGAUGAUGAUGAUGAUGACUUUGAUGUUGGCCAUGUGAGCCAAAGUUCUUGAGACAGUGAAAUGGAGCAAGAAUUAACCAAUGCAGACAUAGGGAAUGAAGCCCUCCUUCAUUCCGUUGAUGAAGGAAACAGCAAUGUGAAUACAUAUCUAUCUAGUCAAAAUGGUCAUGCAACCAAAUGGAAGGAUCCAAUGCCAGAACUAGGUCCGAAAAUAUAAUGAGGAUCUUGGCUAGGGUGAAACCUAUUGGACAAAAUGCCAGCACUGCCAUUCAGUGUUGGAAAUUGCUUGUAACAGAAGAAAUGCUACAAGGUGUUGUGAAAUACACAAAUGAUGAAAUACAAGUAAAACGUCUUGUUUGUUUGUUUGUUUGUUUUUUGGUACCAGGGAUCAAACCCAGGACCUUGUGCUUGUAGGCAGGCACAGCACCACUGAGCUACAUCUCCAGCCCAAGUAAAAUGUUCUCUAUGCACUGAUACCCAUAUUCAAAAA